GGGGAUGUAGCUCAGUUGGUAGAGUGCUUGUGUCUCAUGCACAAGGCCCUGGGUUCAAUCCCAGCACCAUUG
rnacentral:tRNA from 1 species